rnacentral:rRNA from 1 species
UUCGCAUGAAGCAGUGUGAAAAACUCCGGUGGUACAAGAUGGACCCGCGUCUGAUUAGCUGGUUGGUGAGGUAACGGCCCACCAAGGCGACGAUCAGUAGCCGGCCUGAGAGGGUGAACGGCCACAUUGGGACUGAGACACGGCCCAAACUCCUACGGGAGGCAGCAGUGGGGAAUAUUGCACAAUGGGGGAAACCCUGAUGCAGCAACGCCGCGUGAGUGAAGAAGUAUUUCGGUAUGUAAAGCUCUAUCAGCAGGAAAGAAAAUGACGGUACCUGACUAAGAAGCCCCGGCUAACUACGUGCCAGCAGCCGCGGUAAUACGUAGGGGGCAAGCGUUAUCCGGAUUUACUGGGUGUAAAGGGAGCGUAGACGGUUUUGCAAGUCUGAAGUGAAAGCCCGGGGCUUAACCCCGGGACUGCUUUGGAAACUGUAGAACUAGAGUGCAGGAGAGGUAAGUGGAAUUCCUAGUGUAGCGGUGAAAUGCGUAGAUAUUAGGAGGAACACCAGUGGCGAAGGCGGCUUACUGGACUGUAACUGACGUUGAGGCUCGAAAGCGUGGGGAGCAAACAAGAUUAGAUACCCUGGUAGUCCACGCCGUA